rnacentral:rRNA from 1 species
CACCAUGGGAGUGGGUUGCAAAAGAAGUAGGUAGCUUAACCUUCGGGAGGGCGCUUACCACUUUGUGAUUCAUGACUGGGGUGAAGUCGUAACAAGGUAACCGUAGGGGAACCUGCGGUUGGAUCACCUCCUU